rnacentral:rRNA from 1 species
UACGUAGGGGGCAAGCGUUGUCCGGAAUCAUUGGGCGUAAAGAGCGUGUAGGCGGCUCGGUAAGUCUGCUGUGAAAGUCCAGGGCUCAACCCUGGAAUGCCGGUGGAAACUGUCGGGCUCGAGUCCGGAAGAGGCGAGUGGAAUUCCUGGUGUAGCGGUGAAAUGCGCAGAUAUCAGGAGGAACACCGGUGGCGAAGGCGGUGGUCUGGGCCGGAACUGACGCUGAAUAGCGAAAGCGUGGGUAGCGAACAGG